rnacentral:tRNA from 1 species
UGUUCUGUGGCUUAGUUGGUUAAAGCGAUGGUCUAGCGAAUACUGAGUCGUGGGUUCGAAUCCCACCAGAACGC